AUGUUGCAGUAAUCAAAUUCUUUUGGAACGAUAUGAAGAAUAGGGUUAGAAAAAGUAAA
rnacentral:sRNA from 1 species